UCGCCAAAACGAAAGAAAUUCUCUCUCUCUCUCUCUCUCUCUCCCCGACUAGAAAACCCUUCCUCACCAUCUUGCUCAGCUCCGACAGCUCCUUUCCUCACCAUCUCGCUCGGCUCCGGCGGCACCCUUCCUCAACGCCAUCGCCGAUUCCAUCUCCAUUACCUUUCUCAGUCAAAGCGGACCCGAACGGAGAAGAGCCGGAGUAGAUUCUCACCAUCUCCGCGCACGAGGACAACGUCGUCAGAAAAUGGGUCAUCGAGGUCCCUAAAUCCACCGCCUCUAACACCAAUCCGGCUAUCUCACGAUCCCGCAGUGCAAGGCGAGAAGGAUGAAGGUGAAGCUGAUCUAGUCUGAUCGGCGUCUUCGAUACCCCCGCGUCGCUCAACUCCGGCGACCUUACGCUCCUCGUCGAGAUACGAGGUCGUCGAUGUCCUCUAAUUCAGCCUGAGCGGAUUCUAGAUCGCGUUCUUCGUCGUCGGGCCCGAGCACAAUCGGCCCUAAUUCGUCAUCGUCGUCGAGCUUCAGGAAGAUUUUGGUUUCAGAUCUAUAAGAGAUGGUCAUGAGGAUCUAAUGGUUGCCUUGUACCUGUCAAAAUUGUGAGCCAGACUCUUAUUUUUGUCACUCGGUCACGAAGCUGGUCCUUUUUAGAACGCCCUGGACUACUAUUACUCAGUGUUGUUGCCAUCGCCCAGCUGUUGAUAGAGUGGUAAGUUCACGGUGCAGCGGCAUGUUGCUGUUUCCAUCUAAAUACUAUAAGUAUCUGUUAAGUUCAACUCCUAUUGUGAAGCCUCCAUUGACCAUGAGGCCAUUUGGCAGGCCAAUAAGUAUUUGAAUGAAGUUUGCUGGUGGCGAUGGAAAGACCAUUCCUAUCAAGUGUGAUCAUUGUGGUGAGGUGAGGCAUCACAACAAGAAAACAUAUACGACACCGAUCUGAAAAUUGACAAUAGCAGUUCAACAAUCGGAGUAUCUUUUUACAGAAGUUGAAGUAUCUUUUUACAGAAGUUGAAGUAGCUUUUUACAACAUUGAGUGUAGCUUUUCAAAUCAUUUGGAAUUAUCGACAAAUUCUUCCCUUUUGCAUUUGUAGUAGUAGAUUUUGAAAAUCAUGUGAAUUUGGAUAUUGAAGCCUUCAUUGACCAACAGAUCAUUCAGCUACCAAGAAAUGUUGAAAUGAAGUCUCGUGUUGAAGGUGGCAAAAUUAUGCCCAUCGGUUUAGAGUGUGAGGAUUGAAAAAUGACAGUAGCAUUAUUCAACUAUUGUAAUAAAUUUUCAUAACUAUGGUACUGACUUUUUACAAUUAUGAAAGUAGCUUUUUACAUAAUUAUAUCAUUGUUAAACCCUGCAUACUUUUUGUAUCAUCUAAUAUGUUUUAUUUUCUCUA